rnacentral:rRNA from 1 species
CACGUAGGCACCAAGCGUUGUCCGGAUUUAUUGGGCGUAAAGAGCUCGUAGGCGGUUCGAUAAGUCGGGUGUGAAAACUUUGGGCUCAACCCAAAGCGUGCAUUCGAUACUGUUGUGACUAGAGUUCGGUAGGGGAGUGGGGAAUUCCUAGUGUAGCGGUGAAAUGCGCAGAUAUUGGGAAGAACACCGAUGGCGAAGGCAGUUCUCUGGGCCGUAACUGACGCUGAGGAGCGAAAGCGUGGGGAGCGAACAGG